CUUCGCCUCUACAGAAUUCAUAUCGAUUAGCUUUUCCCAAUCGCUGUUUCACCUUCUUCCUCAGAGUACGAAACGAUACCAGUAACGAAUAAUCAUCUUAAAAUGCUCCAUUAAUCUCUCAUACAAGAUUUAUAUUCAAUACGAUUCCUGGAUUUCAAGGCGGUGGGGGCUCAUCUAUAAAAGGGUAUGAUUUCCUCCUUAGAUACUCAUCCUCUCAUUCUUCAAAGCUAACCAGUGAAGUAGGUCUGUGAAAUAUGGCUACGUUUCGGUCUUCCUCUCCGCAUUUGCAAGCUUGCCGCUCCUCCUCCACUGUUUAGGUUUGUUUGCUCUGUUUCUGGGAGGCUCGGAAUGUCCGUUGUGCUGGAGAGCUAAUGGGAGUUGAUAGGCUCCUUCUCGAUUCUCAGUCAUGAUGCUGCGUAAUCUCAACCAGGCUUAUGGGUUAUGCAAUGAGACAAGAAUGAUAGUAAACCGACGUCAAUAUCCUCUGCGACUCUGCUAUGCGAUGACCAUCAAUAAAAAUCAAGGACAAAGUCUCAAACAAGUUGCUUUGUAUCUCUCUUGGAAGGUCUUCACUCACGGCCAGUUGUACGUUGCGUUAUCUCGAGUGACAACACCGGAGGAUUAAAGAUAUUAGACGACACCACUUAUUCAGACGGUGCAUAUGGAGAAACAAAUAUAGUCUACAAGGAGAUCUUCCAAAGCCACAGAGAUGCAAAGGGAUAGCAGCCUAUGUGUUCUUGAACAAUUUUAUGCUUCGACGAAGAUAUGUUUUCAAAAUUACUAAUCAUAAUAUUUUCAGAACCUCGACUCUCUCUUCUCUUCAAGUUUUCCAUUUUAUACUUUUAUGAAAACCAUCAUAUUAACGCUAAAACAUUAGUUAAAUUUCUGGUUUCAUAUACAGAGUCCCAACAAAUAUUUACUAUGUUUCAGAGGUUUAAGAUAUCCAUAGAAUAUAUUAUACUACCAUGUGC